ACGUCCUUUACGUUCCUGGCUCAGAUUGAAAACUGGCGGCAUGUUUUACACAUGCAAGUCGAGCGGCAGCGCGGGGGCAACCCUGGCGGCGAGCGGCGAACGGGUGAGUAAUACAUCGGAACGUGUCCUUUCGUGGGGGAUAACCAGUCGAAAGACUGGCUAAUACCGCAUCAGAUCUCACGAUGAAAGCGAGGGACCGCAAGGCCUCGCGCGAUUGGAGCGGCCGAUGUCGGAUUAGCUAGUUGGCGGGGUAAAAGCCCACCAAGGCGACGAUCCGUAGCUGGUUUGAGUGAACGACCAGCCACACUGGGACUGAGACACGGCCCAGACUCCUACGGGAGGCAGGCAGUGGGGAAUUUUGGACAAUGGGCGCAAGCCUGAUCCAGCCAUGCCGCGUGUGUGAAGAAGGCCUUCGGGUUGUAAAGCAAGUUCGGCCGGAACGUUAUCGCGCGGGUUAACAGUCCGCGUGGAUGACGGUACCGGAAGAUGAAGCACCCGCUAACUACGUGCCAGCAGCCGCGGUAAUACGUAGGGUGCGAGCGUUAAUAGGAAUUACUGGGCGUAAAGGGUGCGCAGGCGGCGUCGCAAGUCAGGCGUGAAAUCCCCGGGCUUAACCUGGGAACUGCACUUUGAAACUACGAUGCUGGAGUAUGGCAGAAGGAGUUGGAAUUCCACGUGUAGCGGUGAAAUGCGUAGAGAUGUGGAGGAACACCGAUGGCGAAGCCCACCCUCCUGGGCCAAUACUGACGCUCAUUAGCGAAAGCGUGGGGAGCAAAUAGGAUUAGAUACUCUGGUAGUCCACGCCCUAAACGAUGAUGACUAGUUGUUGGAGGAGUUAAAUCCUUUUGUAACGCAGCUAACGCGAGAAGUCAUCCGCCUGGGGAGUACGGUCGCAAGAUUAAAACUCAAAGGAUAUUGACGGGGGCCCGCACAAGCGGUGGAUGAUGUCAGUUUAAUUCGACGCAACGCGAAUUACCUUACCUACCCUUGUUAUGUACGGAACCUCAUAGAGAUGUGAGGGUGAUCGAAAGAGAGCCGUAACACAGGUGCUGCAUGGCUGUCGUCAGCUCGUGUCGUGAGAUGUUCGGUUAAGUCCCGUAACGAGCGCAACCCUUGCCAUUAGUUGCCACAUUCAGUUGGGCACUCUAAUGGGACUGCCGGUGACAAACCGGGGGAAGGUGUGGAUGACGUCAAGUCCUCAUGGCCCUUAUGGGUAGGGCUACACACGUCAUACAAUGGCGGAUACAGAGGGUUGCCAACCCGGAUAGAGCCGGAGCCAAUCCCAGAAAGUCCGUCUUAGUCCGGAUUGGAGUCUGCAACCCGACUCCAUGAAGUCGGAAUCGCUAGUAAUCGCAGAUCAGCAUGGAGCGGUGAAUACGUUACGGGCCUUGCAUAGUAACCAGUAGGGUAGGGCCAGUCAGU
rnacentral:rRNA from 1 species